UUCUUUUAUUUGGGAGCAAAUCUUAGAUGUGAAUAGCAUUUGAGGAUGAGAGUACCAAAAGAAUAAGCACCGGCUGACUACGUGC
rnacentral:rRNA from 1 species